AUGAACGCUGGCGGCGUGCCUAAUACAUGCCCGUCGAGCGAACGGACGAGAAGCUUGCUUCUCUGAUGUUAGCGGCGGACGGGUGAGUAACACGUGGAUAACCUACCUAUAAGACUGGGAUAACUUCGGGAAACCGGAGCUAAUACCGGAUGAUAUUUUGAACCGCAUGGUUCAAAAGUGAAAGACGGUCUUGCUGUCACUUAUAGAUGGAUCCGCGCUGCAUUAGCUGGUUGGUAAGGUAACGGCUUACCAAGGCAACGAUGCAUAGCCGACCUGAGAGGGUGAUCGGCCACACUGGAACUGAGACACGGUCCAGACUCCUACGGGAGGCAGCAGUAGGGAAUCUUCCGCAAUGGGCGAAAGCCUGACGGAGCAACGCCGCGUGAGUGAUGAAGGUCUUCGGAUCGUAAAACUCUGUUAUUAGGGAAGAACAUAUGUGUAAGUAACUGUGCACAUCUUGACGGUACCUAAUCAGAAAGCCACGGCUAACUACGUG
rnacentral:rRNA from 1 species